UACGGAGGGUGCGAGCGUUGUCCGGAAUCAUUGGGCGUAAAGGGCGCGUAGGUGGCCUGGCAAGCGUGCGGUGAAAGCUCGGGGCUCAACCCCGAGUCGGCCGUGCGAACUGCUAUGGCUCGAGCACUGUAGGGGCAGAUGGAAUUCCGGGUGUAGCGGUGGAAUGCGUAGAGAUCCGGAAGAACACCAGUGGCGAAGGCGGUCUGCUGGGCAGUUGCUGACACUGAGGCGCGACAGCGUGGGGAGCAAACAGG
rnacentral:rRNA from 1 species